rnacentral:rRNA from 1 species
UACGAGGGGUGCAAGCGUUGCUCGGAAUUAUUGGGCGUAAAGGGUAGGUAGGUGGUCUCAUUUGUCUGGGGUGAAAGCCUUGAGCUUAACUCAAGAAGUGCCCCGGAAACGGUGAGACUGGAGUCCUGGAGAGGGUCGUGGAAUUCCCGGUGUAGCGGUGAAAUGCGUAGAGAUCGGGAGGAACACCAGCGGCGAAGGCGGCGACCUGGACAGGUACUGACACUCAACUACGAAAGCGUGGGGAGCAAACAGG